rnacentral:rRNA from 1 species
UAACGGCGAGUGAAGCGGGAACAGAUUGGCUUUCGAAUCUGGCUUCGGGUCCGAAUUGUAAUUUGCAGAGGAUGCUUUUGGUUAGGUACUUUCCGAGUUCCCUGGAACGGGACGCCUUAGAGGGUGAGAGCCCCGUACGGUUGGAUACCGAGCCUUUGUAAAGCUCCUUCGACGAGUCGAGUAGUUUGGGAAUGCUGCUCUAAAUGGGAGGUAAAUUUCUUCUAAAGCUAAAUACCGGCCAGAGACCGAUAGCGCACAAGUAGAGUGAUCGAAAGAUGAAAAGCACUUUGAAAAGAGGGUUAAAUAGCACGUGAAAUUGUUGAAAGGGAAGCGUUUAUGACCAGACUUUUUCCAGGCGGAUCAUCCGGUGUUCUCACCGGUGCACUUCGUCUGGUUGAGGCCAGCAUCGGUUUUCGUAGAGGGAUAAAAGCAGUAGGAAUGUGGUUCCUCCGGGAAUGUUAUAGCCUAUUGUAUAAUACCUUUACGGGGACCGAGGUUCGCGCUCUGCAAGGAUGCUGGCGUAAUGGUCAUCAACGACCCGUCUUGAAACACGGACCCAAGGAGUAAUACAUUUGUGCAAGUGUUUGGGUGUUAAACCCUCACGCGUAAUGAAAGUGAACGGAGGUGAGAGCCCUUACGGGUGCAUCAUCGACCGAUCCUGAUGUUUUCGGAUGGAUUUGAGUAAGAGCAUAACUGUUCGGACCCGAAAGAUGGUGAACUAUGCGUGGAUAGGGUGAAGCCAGAGGAAACUCUGGUGGAGGCUCGCAGCGGUUCUGACGUGCAAAUCGAUCGUCAAAUCUGCGCAUGGGGGCGAAAGACUAAUCGAAC